UACGGAGGGUGCAAGCAUUAAUCGGAUUUAUUGGGCGUAAAGGGCGCGUAGGCGGAUGUGCAAGUUAAGUGUGAAAUUCCAAAGCUCAACUUUGGAGCUGCACUUAAAACUGCUCGUCUAGAGGAUUGGUGGAGGAAAUGGAAUUCCACGUGUAGCGGUGAAAUGCGUAGAUAUGUGGAAGAACACCGGUGGCGAAAGCGAUUUCCUAACUUAUACCUGACGCUGAGGCGCGAGAGCAAGGGGAGCAAACAGG
rnacentral:rRNA from 1 species